GUGGGAGGGGGCUUGCCCCCGAUGGCGGUGCAUCAGUCAGCUUAUUUGCAACUGACCCACCGCUAUCGGGGGCAAGCCCCCUCCCGC
rnacentral:misc_RNA from 1 species